CACAAUUCCUUAAAAUUCUAUCAACGCAUGCUUUCCAUAAAUUUUGUACUUCACGUAAAAUAUACGUACAUGUAUAUAUAUACGAAAUUUUUAAAAUUGACACCCCCUACUCACCUCAUAAUAGUGGGAUAUUACUUCACUAUUGAUUCGUACACGUAUAUAAUUGUUCCUAUUUGUCGGUCACAUACUUCGUUCGGCACGCCUCCACAACAAACUUUCCUAGCAACAAUUUAAACUUAGUACACUUAAUCACACACUUGUAUGAGUAGCAACUUGCAUAUAUUUCAUCCAAAAUAUGCACAAUAUUAAACUACCCAUAAACCUUAAAAUAUAACACUAACUUACCAUUGGGUCUUUUUCAUUUCUUUAUGACCUUUGGGCCUUCUCUAUGGGCUUCUCCAUUUUUCCUAUUUGGGCUAAGCCCAUUUAUUUUUAUUUCCUAUUAGGCCAUGCCCACUUAUUUUCUGUUGGGUCAUGCCCAUUUAUUUUCUAUUUCUUUUUCUUUUUCUUUUUCUUUCUUUUUUUCUCUUCCACGUUUCUUUUUCUUUUCUUUUUUUUCUUUCCAGUCGUCACUCCCUUUACCACCGUGGCUUCCUCUCUUCCUUUCCUUUUAAAAUCGAUCACCAAAAGCCUCAUUUUCUCACCCUUUUUGUCGCCAUUUUUUGCUUUAAAAUCAGCUGAUUUCUAGCAACAAAUUUCUCAAUUUUGGUAGCACAAGGCUGUCCAAUUUUCCUGCACAAACUACCAGCAACUAGCUCCAAUUUUUCUGUACAAAUUGGCAGCAAACAGCUCAAACUCUUUUGCACAAAUUGGCAGCAAACAGCUCAAAUUUUUCUGCACCAAUUGGCAGCAAACAGCUCAAAUUUUUAGCAGCCAAAGUUAUCCUUCAAUGGCAGCAAAAACCUCUAAAAAUUUCUAGCAACAAAUUCACACAAAUUUAGCAGCAAAAACCUUGAAUUUUCAGCACCAAAAUCAGCCAUAAAAACCUCAAAAAUUCCAGCAAUUAACUUAAAAAAAAUCAGCUUUCUUACCUCAAAAUUUUU
rnacentral:lncRNA from 1 species